rnacentral:rRNA from 1 species
UCAAGAAACUUCCACAAUGGGCGAAAGCCUGAUGGAGCGACGUCGCGUGAUGGACGAAGUGCUUCGGCACGUAAACAUCUUUUUAUGCGGGAUGAAAUUAUUGACAGUACCACAUGAAUAAGGGGCUCCUAACUCUGUGCCAGCAGGAGCGGUAAUACAGAGGCCCCAAGCGUUAUCCGGAAUCACUGGGCGUAAAGGGUGUCGAGGCGGUUGUAUUAGUCGUUCGUAAAAUCUACGAGCUUAACUUGUAGGCGGCGAACGAAACGGUACGACUUGAGGUUUGGAGAGGUGCGUGGAACUCACGGUGUAGGGGUGAAAUCCGUUGAUAUCGUGGGGAACACCAAAGGCGAAGGCAGCGCACUGGCCAAAAUCUGACGCUCACACACGAAAGCUAGGGUAGCGAAGAGGAUUAGAUACCCAAGUAGUCCCUGAGCGGGCUGGCAAGGCGCAU